UGUGCACCCUGGAGAUGCCAGUGUCCAAGGUGACAUCCUGCUGCUUCGGGGGGGCUGACUACUCCGACCUGUACAUGACCUCUGCAGUGGACAGCCUGAGUCCAGAGCAGCUAUUGCGGGAGCCACAGGCAGGGCACAUCUUCAAGGUCACGGGCCUGGGGGUGAGGGGCCUCGCGUCCCGCCCCUUUGCUGGCUGAGGGACCCCACCGUCCAGCACAGCUCAAGACAGGCCUCUGUCCCUGGGGUCGGGCCAGGCUCGGCUCUGGCAGGGCGCUCCCUGCCUGACCGCUGUUCACAGCUGACAAUAAAUGUGGCCACCUCAA